rnacentral:rRNA from 1 species
UACAGGGGGUGCAAACGUUGCUCGGAAUCAUUGGGCGUAAAGCGCACGUAGGCGGUUUGUUAUGUCGGAUGUGAAAGCCCUUGGCUCAACUGAGGAAGUGCAUCCGAAACUGGCAAGCUAGAGUACUAAAGAGGGUCGCGGAAUUCCCGGUGUAGAGGUGAAAUUCGUAGAUAUCGGGAGGAACACCGGUGGCGAAGGCGGCGACCUGGGUAGAUACUGACGCUGAGGUGCGAAAGCGUGGGGAGCAAACAGGG